CCUAUAAAAUGAAGAUAAUUAUGCUGCUUUAACUCCUAGGAUUACUGUGAAGCUCCAAUGAGAAAGUGCUUUGUGAACUAUAAAGCCCUUGUCAGUCUUCAGUUUAAUGUGAUUGCAAGUCCUCCCACCCCCAUAGUCUUCCCUAGUUCUAGUUCCUUCCCUUGCCUGAGCUUCAUUUAGAGUGACUCUUCUCUUUUCUGAACUACCUUAAGGCUUAUGGCAUUCAUUUGGGUUUUGUUAUAUGCUGCUUUUUGUAUGGAUACCUUCGUGUGAGUCUACACCUCAACCUUUAUUAUUGGACACUGUGGUAUCUGAGUGUACAGGAUGAAUCUCAAGCCUCUUUGCAUCUCAGUUAUUGUUCAUUCUACACUUUUUUAUUGCUUUGAUCAUUCAGAAAGCACACCAUGUAGCUCAGUUUUCUGCAGAUACUAAAAAUGACCUGUAGUUUUUUUCCCAAAAUAUGUAAAGGAAUUGGAACUUAGAUUAUUCAUAAAUUACUUCAUAACUCUGACAUUACCUGUUUUUAGACUGAUUAUACUAGUACCAAAUUAGUGACUUAAUUUUGUAUGUAUUAUGUGGUCCACAUGCUUGGGUGAAAGGGGAGAUUUGUGUUGGAUUCCUCUGACUGUGGGAAGACACUUUGUUUUGUUGGUUUGGCAGGCUUCUCCGGGGAAAGUGACUGAGGCAGUGAAAGGAGCCAUUGACGCAGGGUACCGGUACUUCAACUGUGCUUACUUUUACCACAACGAGAAGGAGGUUGGAGCAGGGAUCCGUUACAAGAUCAAGGAAGGAGCCGUAAGACGGGAGGAUCUGUUCAUUGCCAGUAAGCUAUGGUGCACCUGCCACAAGAAGUCCUUAGUGAAAACAGCUUGCAGAAGGAGUCUGAAGGCCUUGAAGCUGAACUAUUUGGACCUCUACCUCAUACACUGGCCCAUGGGUUUCAAGCCUCCUCAUCCAGAAUGGAUCAUGAGCUGCAGUGAACUUUCCUUCUGCCUCUCACGUCCUGGAGUGCACGACUUGCCUCUGGACGAGAGUGACAUGGUCAUCCCUGGUGACACGGACUUCCUGGACACGUGGGAGGCCAUGGAGGACCUGGUGAUCACCGGGCUGGUGAAGAACAUCGGGGUGUCAAACUUCAACCAUGAGCAACUUGAGAGGCUUUUGAAUAAGCCUGGGUUGAGGUUCAAGCCAGUAACCAACCAGAUUGAGUGCCACCCAUAUCUUACUCAGAAGAAUCUGAUCAGUUUUUGCCAAUCCAGAGAUGUGUCCGUGACUGCUUACCGUCCUCUUGGUGGCUCGUGUGAAGGGGUUGACCUGAUAGACGACCCUGUGAUCCAGAGGAUUGCAAAGGAACACAGCAAGUCUCCUGCUCAGAUCUUGAUCCGAUUUCAAAUCCAGAGGAAUGUGAUAGUGAUCCCCGGAUCUAUCACCCCAAGUCAUAUUAAAGAGAAUAUCCAGGUGUUUGAUUUUGAGUUAACACAGCAUGAUAUGGAUAACAUCCUCAGCCUAGACAGGAAUCUCCGACUGGCCACAUUCCCCAUGUAAAUAUGACUCCUUCUUUUAAAAAUAGAGGGAAGAAUAUACAGAUUGGAUGACUGGUGUCUGAAUAGAACUAAAAAUCACAAAGACUAUCCUUUCCACAUAGAAUACUGAGGACAGCUUCCCGUUCCUUGUUUCUGCUCAGCCCAGAUGCACCAACACCAUUGGUGAUGUUGACCCUCCUCUGUCAUCACAGCGCCAGGGCAGCUGUGCCUGGGAUAGGAGCCACACAGUCGGGGGGGUGCAAGAGCCGCCUUCUCUGGCACAUCUGGAGAAUUGAGUGUGUUCUAAGUGAAGGCAAUGGGGUUUCUCCAAGACAGCCUGUGUGGCCUCUACUCUGAAAAAAGACACUGAUGAUUGAUCAAUGAAAUUUGCCUUCACAUUUUAAGAAAACUUUAUCUUAUGGAAUUAUUUAAGCGAUCUGCAGAGCUGAGGAAACAGUGUAAUGUGUCUCUGCCCCAUUGCGCGGCUCCACCAAUUGUGCCCCAGGCCAGCCCACAUCACCUUCACUUCCUUCUCGGCCCUGCCAAUGACCCCCAGGUUAUUCUAAAGCAGAGUCCUUCCCUUCUCCCAGUUGGAAGUGCAAUGGGAUAAGUCUGGGACACUGUCAGAAUUCAAUAAAGAGGCUUUUUUCUUCCUUAAAAA